rnacentral:rRNA from 1 species
GUCCACGCCGUAAACGAUGUCAACUAGCCGUUGGGGACCUUGAGUCUUUAGUGGCGCAGCUAACGCAUUAAGUUGACCGCCUGGGGAGUACGGCCGCAAGGUUAAAACUCAAAUGAAUUGACGGGGGCCCGCACAAGCGGUGGAGCAUGUGGUUUAAUUCGAAGCAACGCGAAGAACCUUACCAGGCCUUGACAUCCAAUGAACUUUCCAGAGAUGGAAGGGUGCCUUCGGGAACAUUGAGACAGGUGCUGCAUGGCUGUCGU